UACGUAGGGUGCGAGCGUUGUCCGGAAUUAUUGGGCGUAAAGAGCUCGUAGGCGGCACAGCAAGUCGGGAGUGAAAGCCCGGGGCUCAACCCCGGAAUGGCUUUCGAAACUGCUGAGCUAGAGUACAGAAGGGGCAACCGGAAUUCCCAGUGUAGCGGUGAAAUGCGUAGAUAUUGGGAAGAACACCUGAGGCGAAGGCGGGUUGCUGGGCUGAUACUGACGCUGAGGCGCGAAAGCCAGGGGAGCAAACGGG
rnacentral:rRNA from 1 species